rnacentral:rRNA from 1 species
UACGUAGGGGGCAAGCGUUGUCCGGAAUCAUUGGGCGUAAAGCGCGUGUAGGCGGCUGAGUAAGUCUGCUCUGAAAGCCCGGGGCUCAACCCCGGGAGGCGGGUGGAUACUGCUCAGCUCGAGUCCGGAAGAGGAGUGUGGAAUUCCUGGUGUAGCGGUGAAAUGCGCAGAUAUCUGGAGGAACACCGGUGGCGAAGGCGGCAUCCUGGACCAACACUGACACUGAGGAGCGAAAGCCAGGGGAGCAAACGGG